AAACGUUACAGCUAUGCAAAGGACACUUUUGAUGUUGAUGAUGGGGCCCUCUACAAUAACUCACAAACUCAGCUAAAUAAGUCAAGGGAAACACUGACCCGGUAGCAUCCUGGCUAUGGUAAGGAUGAGGCUACCAAAAAUCUCACAUUCAUCACGCUUAAGGAAUUACCCCAGAUUUUAGCAUUCAUGUGAUAAAGAAAGGGACAAGCCAAUUUAAGCAUGUAGGAUAUAGCCUCGUCUAUUACAAGAAAAAUAAAUAAAAAGGGACAAACCUUAAUGAUAAAAUCAGGGAACUCUUCACAGAAUCAAACUUUUUGGUUAGCUGCUCUUAAUAAAUAGUUCGCAUACAACGAAUGAGUUAUGAGCAUCACAAGCCAACUUUUAAUGAAACAGUUAAGCAUACUGCAUACUGGUGAUUGUGUAACAGUGUUCACAUAUUAACAUCAUAAUUCUGAGCCACUAUCAUGUAAAUAAGCUAGCGAACAUUACAGUUCAUAAUAGUGGCAAUAAUUCUCAAUAAAUGACGAAAUAUAUGUCAACAUGCCAAUUCACUUGGAAAAGGUAAUUCAAAGCAAUAUGAACAGAAACUAUAUGCCUCCUAUUGCUAGUAAUUAAGUGCAGAAUCACAUUUAUUUAACUGAAAGAAGCAUCAGAUUCAUAACAUUAAAUUCCAAGGCAUCACAAUAGACAAGUUAUAUAUUGCGAGAUACUCCAAAAAUGGCAAUAAAUCUAAAUUAAAGAAAGAUUCCAUUUCCAUCAUAUAAUGGAACUCUCAACACUUUUUACUAUGUCUGAAAUGGGAGAAGAAAUGCUUUUUUUGGCAUUUUCCUCACUGUAACUAAGCUACUCACAAUGCCACUUAAUUCAUUUUUUUCUUUUCUCAAGAUUUGCACUAAUAUUUUGGAAGCCAUAUAACCCAUAAAAGCUUAAAAAGAUAUCAUAAUUCAACUGCAUAUGUGCUUGACAACAAUGAAAAAUCACUACUCCCAGAAGAUAAUAAAUUCCAAGAAUCUUCUGAUUUUUUUUUUGGUGAUCAUGUGGUUUGUUCAAUGGAUAGCUUCUAAAAGAACUUGCCAUGAAGUUCAACAAAGAAAUCCAAUUUAUGUCUAUAAUAGAUGAUUCUGAGGCCACAAUGGUCCAAAAGUAAAAGAUCCAAGACUUUCUAUGGUAAUGUAGGCAAUGCUCUUAACAAGAGCAAGUAAAAAUUUAGCAAUGAUAGAAACCAUUAGCAGGUUGUGUCUAGUGCUAUCAUCUCACUAAGAAAGAAGAAAAAUGUUUAAAGAUGGACCACUAGUAAUUGAACUUCAUUUCAAGUUGAUCAAGCUGAUACUCCUACUAAUAUUCAGUACCAUAGAAUUUUCUGCUUAAUAAAUUAGGGGUGGGGUGAUUUAAAGCAUCUUAGAAUAACAAUACACAUAGCAUGCUAAUUAAUGUCACUUAGAGAAUCUUGAUUAAGUUGAUUUCUAGGUUCAUACCUGCAUUGAAUUUUGAAUCCUACAUGCAGCUGAAGACUUGAGUUGGCACCAGUAACUAAUUGGAUUGAAAAUCCAACAUUUUUUCCUCUUCUACUUGUCCACUCUGUUUUUAAAGGUUGUGCAUAGACUUGUAUGUGUGCAAGUGUGCACAUGCAAAUAUAUUUACAAGCAAAAAGAUAGACUGGGCCAAGAUGUGUUCUCCUGAUUGAAUUUCAUGUUACUUGGCUCAAAAAUAAGCCAACUUUUUUAAAAGACAGCAGACAACAAAAAAGGAUAUAUCUACUAUCUUCUGGGUCCCUAUAGGUCCAAAAGUCACAAAGCAAACCGCUUACUUUAGCACAACGGGUGCUUCAGCACUUGGGGAAACUUGUUUGAUUCAGAGCUUUAUGGUGGGAUCACCAUUUGGAAAGUAAAAGCUAACUCAAUACGUACAUCUUUACAUUUACCAUUAAUCCUGGGAUUCCUAAAAUUCAACAACUUGGAGCAGCAAAAGUCAAGUGUCACUCAGCCUAUAAUCAUAACACUUAAGUCAAACAAUGAAAACCGCAUUUGUAGGCCCAAAGGAAACAACUAAUGCCUAAGCAAAAAGAGGAAGGCCUCAAAUGCAUAAAAGAUAUGUAAGCUAAUUUCCAUUUUUGCACCAAUUUCUACAAACACGGUAAUUAGAAAUGGCCUAAAACAGCUACAGCAGUACCCACCCUCCAUUUAAUUUACGAAAUGAUGUCAUAAAUCCAAUAAACUCACCGGGCCUUCUUCCGGGACUUGAAUGGAAAAUUGGACGGCGGCGAUGGUGAAAAUUCAAAUGGCAAGUGAGGUGGUUCUCUCUGACCACAAAGCAUCCCCACAACUUCUUUCAUGGUAGGCCGCUUGGUUGGUGACCUCUGCAAACAGAGUAGUGCAAUUGUGAUGCAAAGCAAUGCCUGAUCUUUAUCCAAUGAAUGUACUAAAGGAUCAACAAGAUCCAAAAGUUUCCCAUUGUAUGCGAGUUGCCUAGCCCAAGAAAUCAGAUUAGCCCUCUCAAAUUCCGACAUUGGUGAAGCAGCUACUUGCAGGGGUCUCCGACCAGAAACCACAACUAGAAGCAGAACACCGAAGCUAUAAACAUCACACUUCUCCGAUAACAGGCCACCACCGCCAUACUCUGGAGCAAUAUAACAAACAGUUCCUCUCAUACUAGGCGUGCUACUAACACCACCACUCUUCGGGAUUUCUCCACUUACCCAAUCCUGGCUACUUCUUCGCCCAUUUUUCAAUUCACCGCUGCACCCUUCCAACCACCAAUCAAUGCUGCCUCUGCUCCUUUUGCUCUUGCUUUUCUUUCUCUCUUGUACCACAUCAUCAUCCUUCUGCCACCAUGAGUCUCCCCCAUUGCUCGAAUUAAGUCCUCUUUUCUUCUUCUUCUUCUUUGUAAGCUCCUCGCAGAACUCUUCCUUCCACCACUCUCGUGGCUUUCUACUCUUUUCCUUGUUUUGCAUUCUUUCCUCAUCCAAAGAUGCCCACCAUUCCAAUCUUUUCUUGCGCUUCUUCUUUGGCUCAAUCGUCAAGCUUUUAGUUCUCAAAGGAUUGUUUUCAACCGAGCUAGGAGAGGCAAUCCAUUCACUGCUGGGUCUCUCCUUCUUAAUCUCACUCCCAAUCCACUCCAUCACAUAAUCCUUUACUCUCCCCGACUCUGACCCGCCUCCGUUGUCCUGUUUCCACCACCAAUCUCUUUUAGACCCAGCCUUCUUCCCUCCACUAACCAAAUCCUUCCCACUAUCAAUACUAAGCUUGUCAAACCCAGCCUCCGAAACACUCCCUCCUUUAUCCACUCCCAUCUCCGGUGACAUCGGAUCAACCAUCUCCGGUGAAGCAUCUGAAUCUAAAACCCUAACGGCAAAACUCUCAGGCGAUCGAUCAACGCCUACAGCAGUAGAACUAUCUUCGUAUCCAGUCACCACACUCUCUGUCUCCUCCAAAAUUGACCCAUUAUCCUCAGCAACUACAAAAGCCUCCUUCUUCUCCACAUCAUUCUCCUCUGCCUUCAAUCUUGCAAGUCCAAAAUCACCAAUUUUUGCAUUAAAAUCCGCGUCAAGUAAUAUGUUACUGGGUUUAAUAUCACCGUGAAUCACAGGAGGAUUACAGAAAUGGUGUAGAUAUUCAAGUCCUUUGGCAACAUCAGUUACCAAAUCAAAUCUUUUUCUCCAAUUCAUAAGUUCUUCACAUUUCCGAUCUAGCAAAGCUUCCUGGAGGCUCCGGUUCUCCAUAAGCUCGUACACCAAAAUGAGCUUCCGUCUGCGGCGGUCUGAGGAGAAACCCAAGAGAGGGACAAUGAAAGGGGAGUGCAGAGAGGAGGCGAGAGAGAGCUCGUUGUGGAAUUCACGCUCACCUUGGAGUGAGCCAUUGGGGUCCAUGAGCUUGACUGCUAACGGCUGGUUUGUUGAAGGAAGAAUGGCUUUAUAAACUGAGCCAAAUCCGCCGUGGCCAAGCCGGUUGGAGGUAGAGAACGAAGCCGUGGCGCUCCGGAGCAGUGAAUAGGAAAAGCGGUGACAUUGCAGCUGCUGCUGGUGAUGGUGAUUGGGAGAUUUAAGGUCAGAUGGAGCUGUACGGUUGCGAGAUAGUUUGCGGUAGAAAAAGAAAAUGAUGACAAUGAAAGAGAACAGAGUAAAAGUCAGGGCUCCGGCGAGAAUUGGAGGAAGAAGCUUCACAUGGUGGUCGUGGUGGCGGCGGUUGGUGUUACUUAGCGGCGGCGAAGCGAGAAGGGAUCUCAGUUGGCGAGAUGGCAUGGUAGUAAAUAGAAGCGAAAUGGAAGGAGUUAUGAGGAAGUCAUUAACAAAAAUAGAAAUAGCGUUUGAAGGUAGAAGGAGAAGAUAAUGAGGUAGGUGGUUGGUUAAUGAUUACUAACGUUUAUCUCCUCCGCUCCCGACUCUGGUUAUAAGCUGUGGGUGUUUCUUCAGCUAUGUAGAAGAGGGCCAGUUUAUUUCGGUUUUCCAUUCUUGGGGGAUAACGCUGGGUUGACAACGACGUCGUUAGAUAUCGAUGCUUGUGGAACCAGUUGCUUUGACUUUUUUUCUUUAACGUGGCUCCUCUUGGUUCGAUGGUCAUCAUCUUAAUCUAACUGUCAUGUGAUGUGAGUCGGAUUUAAGCCUUGAUCUAGUAGUAACCAGUAACCACACUACACUGAAGCUGAGAGGGUACCGAACACGCGCCAUCUAUUGGGCGUUAGAUACACGAGAGAUCGCGUGGAUCUAUGAUCUCGAGGCUUCGCUUACUGUUUAACCACGUUGGUGGGGUCCAUGAGUCUAAGAACUGUUUGGAUAAGCAAAUAGUCAGCAGAGAAAUUCAAUUUGGAUGCUAUGAGGUACUGUACUUUGUGGU
rnacentral:misc_RNA from 1 species